UUAGAUGUUUUAGUUCCGGUGCUAGCUUUGUUGCCUAUCUUUUAAUUUUUUCUACAUCAUUGAUAUUAUUUUUACUACUUGGACUACACACUGGAGCUGCGAAUUCCAGGUGUGAUCUAACCAGCGAUGUGUAUAAUUGCCUUACCAUUUAAGUUUUAAGAUAACUUGAUAGUUCCGUCUUCAUUCCAAAUAAUAUUUGGGUAAUUAAAAUCACCAACGAUCAUUACAUUUGAGUAUUUUCCAUUCAUUACUUCCUUUUUUGCAGUUUUAAUUAAUUCAUUAAUUGCAUUAUUUAUUAGGUCAGUACUGUUUGGUGGUCUGUAUAUACAUCUAACUAAUAUUUUUGUUUUAUGAAGUACAAUGCUACACCAUAUUUGUUCAACUUCUUUAUAUAAAGGUGAAACUGAUACUUCAUAAGCAAUUAUAUUGUAUUUUGUAAAAAUUACAAUUAUUGUAAAAGCAGUUUUAUUUGUUAAUAUUAAUAAUUGAAUCAUUUUUGUACCAUGUUUCAGAAAUAAAUAAGAUAUUUGGUGAAUUGAUCAUAAUUUUUGUUUCAAACUCUGCUAUUUUAUUUACUAAAGAUGUAGAAUUUGUAUACCAAAAC